AUUGUCCAACGCAAAGCCAGUAUUGGCCUUGGAAUAGAUGUACGCAUUGCACGAUAAUAAUUAUAUGCUAUCAGAUUUACGUUUACGUCAAGCGACAUUGUCCACGGAAGUAAUCGCACACCGAGGAAAGUCCUUUCCCGAUGUCUCUUGCAAUUAGCGCCGAUGAAAGUCCACUGCACGAGAGAGAGAGAGAGAGCCGCAUCUUAAUAAUACAUUCUGUUUGUGUGCCGCAGUGGGUCGACGAGAUGAACGUGGCGGAAGUGAACAGCCGCGGCGUGAUAGUGGAGGUGCCGGCGUCGAGGAAGCUAAUCAGCGAGGAGUCUGCGGCGACGCCGCCGGUGGCGACGGCGACGAUGGCACCGUUCGCCACGAAUCUCGACGACGUGUUUAUCAGCGUCAAGACCACCAAGCACUAUCAUCACUCGCGCCUGCCGGCCAUCGUCGACACGUGGUUCCAGUUCGCCAGGAACCAGACCUGGUUCUUUACCGACAGGGACGACCCGUACUUUCAAAACCAAACGAACGGCCACAUGAUCAACACCAAGUGUUCAUCCUCGCACAAUCGGCGGGCCCUUUGCUGUAAGAUGUCGGUGGAAUUCGACAGAUUUCUCGACAGUGGCAGAAAGUGGUUCUGCCACUUCGACGACGAUAAUUACGUGAACGUGCCGCGCCUACUGAAGCUUCUGGACAAUUACAACCCACGGGAGGACUGGUAUCUCGGCAAGCCCUCGAUACCUGCGCCCUUGGAGAUCACCAGGCAGGGCCCGGAGCCGCAGAAACGACCGCAAAAGGUGAAGUUUUGGUUCGCCACGGGCGGUGCCGGAUUCUGCAUCAGUCGAGCGUUGGCGUUGAAGAUGACGCCGGUGGCUGGUGGCGGAAAGUUCAUCACCGUCGGUGACAGAAUCAGGUUGCCGGACGACGUAACAAUGGGUUACAUCAUCGAGUACCUUCUAAAAAAGCAACUCACUGUGGUGGAGCAGUUCCACUCGCACUUGGAGCCGAUGAAGUUCCUGAACAGGGAUACCUUCCACGAGCAGGUCUCUUUUAGUUAUUCCAAAGGACCUAGAGACGAGUGGAAUAUCCUGAAAAUUGAUGGUUUCGAUAUGAAGGAUGAUCCAAAGAGAUUUAAAUCCAUCCAUUGUCAUCUGUUCCCACGUGUUCCUUAUUGCCCGCACAGGUGAUGAAGAUUGCACGACGAAUGUAUGAAUAAAGAAAGUCGGAAAACACUGAUCUCUCACUGUUAGGAAAAAUAGAGAAGAAGAUGUAAGAGGUAAAGAGAACGAGAAGUAGAAUUUAUUCUCAAUUGCAGAAUGGAAGAAACAGAAGAUCAACGUAUGGUAAGGAGCAUAAUAGUUAAUAAUAAGAUAUUUGGGGAAAUGGGUAAAAAUGAUCAUUUUGCUGUUAAUUUUUUAUAACUUCAUAUGGGUAAAAAUGCAAUUUCUGUUUGCUAUAUUAUUGCGCAUUCAAACAUAUAACAUUUCAUGCAUAUAUUGACGCAAUGACAUUUAUGUAAUACAUAAACGAGGCGUUCUUUAAAAGAAUGAAAUGUGUUUCAUUUCACAUUUGUUGUUCAUUCUUUUUAUUCCGUUUUAAAUAACUUUAUUUUGCUUGAAUGGAAGUCGUGAGGCGUUCUUUAAAAGAAUUAAAUGUGUUUCAUUUCACAUUUGUUGUUCAUUCUUUUUAUUCCGUUUUAAAUAACUUUAUUUUGCUUGAAUGGAAAGUUCAGCAUAAUUCACGAUGCAUAUGAUUUAUUCGACAAAAUAUUAGCAUCGUAUCUUUAUCUAAAUUUAUUAAAACAUAUAUGGUCACAGGAUACUGAAAUAAUUUUUUGAUAUUACAAGUAAUUUUCUGGCAUUCUAUCUUAAUAUCUAAUAUAGACUUACAUAAGCGAAUUAAUAGAUAUAUUGGUAAAAAUGCAGAUGAGGGGAGGCCGCCCCGAUGACCUUGACCUUGACAUAUGUUGUCAAGGUCGCCCUUCUGAGUGACCUUGAAGAGGUUUUAG